UUUGGUUGUUCAUCCUAUACAACAGUCUCUUCUUCAGCAGGAGAAGAUGUCUCUGCAAUCACACCUAGUCUCUUGAUAUGGAUUUCAAGAAGUUGUACUCCACUUCGAGUUGUAAUGGCCUUGGCUUGCUCUUUGGGAUUGAUUUCUGUGUUACUCGGCAAGUUACCCGACGUUCUACCAGUAAAUGCCAUGGCUAACUGCCCCACCUGAGUUUCCAAAUUUUUGAUGGCUGUAUUUUGAUUUUGAAAUGUAGCUUCGACUUUCUCCAUGAAUUUUCCUAUCAUAUCUUCCAACUGAGGCCUCUUUUCUUGUUGUUGAAAUUGCCCCUGUGGCCUAUUUUGAUUCUUGUUGCUCCAAGAGAAGUUGGGAUGCUUCUUCCAACUGGGACUGAAAGUUUCUCCGUAUUGAUUGUGUUGUUGGCGUUGUCCCCACUGUGCAUAGUCUGCUUGUUCAAUUCCUUGUAUGAGUAUUGGGCAUUUCGAUGUUUUAUACUCAGUUCCACAUUCCUCGCAAUUACUCUUCUUCGCUUGUGUUACUUGUGAUAUGCUUUCCACCUUGUGAUACAGAGAGUCGAUUUUUACAGAUAUUGCUGAAUAAGUAUCCACGUCAUAGACAUCCGGAGUUUUUCUUGGAACCGUCCUAUCAGAAGACCACAUGGCUGAUGUGGUAGCCAUUCUCUCAAAUAAUUCCAAUGUCCCAUCAACUGUUCGUGUGGAUAUUAAGCCAUCUGACGCGGAAUGCACCAUACUCUUGUGAUAUGGAAGUAACCCUGUGUAGAAGAAUCGGAUUUGGGUCUUUUUGUCAAACCCAUGUUGAGGGCACUUCUAGAGCAUGUUCUUGAAUCUGUUCCUAGCUUCGUCAAAUGAUUCGAUUUCUCCUUGACUGAAUACUGAUAUGUCAUGACUCAGCUUCGCUAUCUUGGCUGAUGAGAAAAACUUUGUGCAGAAUUUGUGUGCGAACUCGUUCCAUGUAGUAAUACUAGCAACCGAAAGUGAAUCCAACCAUUCAAGUGCUCUGUCUCGUAGUGUGUGUAGAAACAGCCUUAGCCUAAUAGCAUCGUUCGAAAUCACUUGGUAUCUGAAAUGUUGACACAUAUCCAAAAAUCGAGAUAUGUGUGUAUGUGGAUUCUCCUCGGCCUUGCCAUAGAACUGAUGUCCAUUUUGAAAUAGCUGUAUCACAUGUCUUCAAUUGGAAAUUUGGCUGCCCAAACAGUGGAUACACUAUGCUAGAUUGACUUUGAAUUACUUGAGGAGUUAAGAAUCUCCCAGAAUCUCGUUUCCUUCGUCUAUUGCCUCUCCUUCAUUAGCUUGAAUAAUGGGAUUGUUCAGUUCGUUAGCCAUUUGUACUUGUGCUUCUCGGUGAUCUCUUUGUAGUCGAUGAAAGGUGUGCUCGAUUUCAGGAUCAGCUGGAAUCAAUCUCCUCCAGUCGAUUGUGGCAUGCAAAUCUGAAAGACAAAACCAGUACGAGCACUGAGAUUCAAAUAAUUUAAAUAACUAAAACACAAAUAAAGGAUAAUCACCUAAAAUAGAAACAAAAACAAAAUUAUACUAGCAAAAUAAAAAUUGAAGUUCGAAUUAGUGUCUAG
rnacentral:lncRNA from 1 species